rnacentral:lncRNA from 1 species
CGAGGGUCCAGCCUAGUGCUCUCUAAUGUUUUGAUGUGCGCUCCAGGUCACACGCUUCACGUUGUUUUUUUCCAGUAUUGAACACAGUUUAUCCCGUCUUAAAUUUUAUUGAUUAUUUACAUUUUAAAAUACCUAAAGUUGGAUUAGGAAAGUUGUUUGAAAUAUUUGGACAGCGUUUACAGGUAACUUAUUAGAUAUUUUGUAGUCAUGAUGGGCGAGUUGGAACCGGUGUUUUUCUGAAUCAAACACUCCAAAUAAAUGGACAUUUUGGAGAUAUAACAAAGGAAUUAAUCAAACAAAUGGACCAUUGUGAUGUUUAUGGGACAUCAAGUAGGCUUGAGUUUUGCUAGGACGUUGGAUGGGGAUGCGAACAAUGUGUUCAGUCCUAGUUGUAUUAUUAUUAUUAUUUUGUUUUAACCCAAAAAGUAUCCCUUAACUUAACCAUUGUGAAUGAAUGCAGGAGGAGCCACAGCAGUAAGCCAGGGUGUUCAAAACAACAACAAAUCUGACGUUUAUAAAUGUUCGAAUCUGAAGCCAAAUUUGUCAAGCCGCAAGGACACUACUCUGACUACUGUUAUAUGAUACAGCGGUGUUUGACCAAGGACACUACUCUGACUACUGUUAUAUGAUACAGCGGUGUUUGACCAAGGACACUACUCUGACUACUGUUAUAUGAUACAGUGGUGUUUGACCAAGGACACUACUCUGACUACUGUUAUAUGAUAGAGCGGUGUUUGACCAAGGACACUACUCUGACUACUGUUAUAUGAUACAGCGGUGUUUGACCAAGGACACUACUCUGACUAGUGUUAUAAUAUACAGUGGUGGUUGACCAAGGACACUACUCUGACUACUGAUAUAUGAUACAGCGGUGUUUGACCAAGGACACUACUCUGACUACUGAUAUAUGAUACAGCAGUGUUUGACCAAGGCCCCAAGCCGUGAGAUCUUGUAGAGUUUCUCUGGAACUGAC